GUGCUCGCUUUGGCAGCACAUAUAUUAAAACUGGAAAGAUACAGGGAAAAUUAGCAUGGUCCCUGCAUAGAGAUGACAUGCAAAUUCAUGAAGUGUUCCAUAUUUUU